rnacentral:rRNA from 1 species
AAAUUGAAGAGUUUGAUCAUGGCUCAGAUUGAACGCUGGCGGCAGGCCUAACACAUGCAAGUCGAACGGUAACAGGAAGCAGCUUGCUUCUUUGCUGACGAGUGGCGGACGGGUGAGUAAUGUCUGGGAAACUGCCUGAUGGAGGGGGAUAACUACUGGAAACGGUAGCUAAUACCGCAUAACGUCGCAAGACCAAAGAGGGGGACCUUCGGGCCUCUUGCCAUCGGAUGUGCCCAGAUGGGAUUAGCUUGUUGGUGGGGUAACGGCUCACCAAGGCGACGAUCCCUAGCUGGUCUGAGAGGAUGACCAGCCACACUGGAACUGAGACACGGUCCAGACUCCUACGGGAGGCAGCAGUGGGGAAUAUUGCACAAUGGGCGCAAGCCUGAUGCAGCCAUGCCGCGUGUAUGAAGAAGGCCUUCGGGUUGUAAAGUACUUUCAGCGGGGAGGAAGGGAGUAAAGUUAAUACCUUUGCUCAUUGACGUUACCCGCAGAAGAAGCACCGGCUAACUCCGUGCCAGCAGCCGCGGUAAUACGGAGGGUGCAAGCGUUAAUCGGAAUUACUGGGCGUAAAGCGCACGCAGGCGGUUUGUUAAGUCAGAUGUGAAAUCCCCGGGCUCAACCUGGGAACUGCAUCUGAUACUGGCAAGCUUGAGUCUCGUAGAGGGGGGUAGAAUUCCAGGUGUAGCGGUGAAAUGCGUAGAGAUCUGGAGGAAUACCGGUGGCGAAGGCGGCCCCCUGGACGAAGACUGACGCUCAGGUGCGAAAGCGUGGGGAGCAAACAGGAUUAGAUACCCUGGUAGUCCACGCCGUAAACGAUGUCGACUUGGAGGUUGUGCCCUUGAGGCGUGGCUUCCGGAGCUAACGCGUUAAGUCGACCGCCUGGGGAGUACGGCCGCAAGGUUAAAACUCAAAUGAAUUGACGGGGGCCCGCACAAGCGGUGGAGCAUGUGGUUUAAUUCGAUGCAACGCGAAGAACCUUACCUGGUCUUGACAUCCACGGAAGUUUUCAGAGAUGAGAAUGUGCCUUCGGGAACCGUGAGACAGGUGCUGCAUGGCUGUCGUCAGCUCGUGUUGUGAAAUGUUGGGUUAAGUCCCGCAACGAGCGCAACCCUUAUCCUUUGUUGCCAGCGGUCCGGCCGGGAACUCAAAGGAGACUGCCAGUGAUAAACUGGAGGAAGGUGGGGAUGACGUCAAGUCAUCAUGGCCCUUACGACCAGGGCUACACACGUGCUACAAUGGCGCAUACAAAGAGAAGCGACCUCGCGAGAGCAAGCGGACCUCAUAAAGUGCGUCGUAGUCCGGAUUGGAGUCUGCAACUCGACUCCAUGAAGUCGGAAUCGCUAGUAAUCGUGGAUCAGAAUGCCACGGUGAAUACGUUCCCGGGCCUUGUACACACCGCCCGUCACACCAUGGGAGUGGGUUGCAAAAGAAGUAGGUAGCUUAACCUUCGGGAGGGCGCUUACCACUUUGUGAUUCAUGACUGGGGUGAAGUCGUAACAAGGUAACCGUAGGGGAACCUGCGGUUGGAUCACCUCCUUACCUUAAAGAA